rnacentral:rRNA from 1 species
AUUGAACGCUGGCGGCAGGCUUAACACAUGCAAGUCGAGCGGGGGAAGGUAGCUUGCUACCGGACCUAGCGGCGGACGGGUGAGUAAUGCUUAGGAAUCUGCCUAUUAGUGGGGGACAACAUCUCGAAAGGGAUGCUAAUACCGCAUACGUCCUACGGGAGAAAGCAGGGGAUCUUCGGACCUUGCGCUAAUAGAUGAGCCUAAGUCGGAUUAGCUAGUUGGUGGGGUAAAGGCCUACCAAGGCGACGAUCUGUAGCGGGUCUGAGAGGAUGGGCCGCCACACUGGGACUGGGACACGGCCCAGACUCCUACGGGAGGCAGCAGUGGGGAAUAGUGGACAAUGGGGGGAACCCUGAUCCAGCCAUGCCGCGUGUGUGAAGAAGGCCUUAUGGUUGUAAAGCACUUUAAGCGAGGAGGAGGCUACUUUAGUUAAUACCUAGAGAUAGUGGACGUUACUCGCAGAAUAAGCACCGGCUAACUCUGUGCCAGCCGCCGCGGUAA